AGUGAACGCUGGCGGUAGGCCUAACACAUGCAAGUCGAACGGCAGCACAGUAAGAGCUUGCUCUUACGGGUGGCGAGUGGCGGACGGGUGAGGAAUACAUCGGAAUCUACUUUUUCGUGGGGGAUAACGUAGGGAAACUUACGCUAAUACCGCAUACGACCUACGGGUGAAAGCAGGGGAUCUUCGGACCUUGCGCGAGUGAAUGAGCCGAUGUCGGAUUAGCUAGUUGGCGGGGUAAAGGCCCACCAAGGCGACGACCCGUAGCUGGUCUGAGAGGAUGAUCAGCCACACUGGAACUGAGACACGGUCCAGACUCCUACGGGAGGCAGCAGUGGGGAAUAUUGGACAAUGGGCGCAAGCCUGAUCCAGCCAUACCGCGUGGGUGAAGAAGGCCUUCGGGUUGUAAAGCCCUUUUGUUGGGAAAGAAAAGCAGCAGGUUAAUACCCCGCUGUUCUGACGGUACCCAAAGAAUAAGCACCGGCUAACUUCGUG
rnacentral:rRNA from 1 species